AUUGAACGCUGGCGGUAGGCUUAACACAUGCAAGUCGAGCGGUAACAGUCCUUCGGAGCUGACGAGCGGCGGACGGGUGAGUAACGCGUAGAAAACUGCCCGGUAGUGGAGGAUAGCCCAGAGAAAUUUGGAUUAAUACUGCAUACGCUCUACGGAGGAAAGCGGGCUUCGGCUCGCGCUAUCGGAUGUGUCUGCGUGAGAUUAGCUAGUUGGUGAGGUAAUGGCUCACCAAGGCGACGAUCUCUAGCUGGUCUGAGAGGAUGAUCAGCCACACUGGGACUGAGACACGGCCCAGACUCCUACGGGAGGCAGCAGUGGGGAAUAUUGCACAAUGGGGGAAACCCUGAUGCAGCCAUACCGCGUGUGUGAAGAAGGCCUUCGG
rnacentral:rRNA from 1 species